GGCUCUUGUUUUUUUGACUUCUCUUCCUUCACUAUUUCAACAUUACUACAAGGGCUCAUGCUUGAAGAAAAGCCCUUUGAAGACUUGAUCUUUAUGCCUCCAGGUUUUUAGCACAAUUCCUGGGGUAGUUACAUUAGCCUCAGGCAAUGAGUUUGCACUGUCUUCCAUUUUCUCAUUUGAGACAACCUGUUUCUCUGGACCAGCUUGCUGGCUACUUUUAUCAGUAUCACUAUGAGUAGCUACUUCUGAAGAAUUGAGCUGAGUGUCUAGUGUUUUUUUUGUUUUGAG
rnacentral:misc_RNA from 1 species